GUACUAAUUAAAAAUUAUAGUUGAUCACGUUUCCCUAGAAAAUUUUCCCUAAACCUCACCAACCAUUUCUUCUGCCUAAAAACCGUCGGCGCUGCCCCUUGCUCAGUUCUCUCUAACCUUUCUUUUUCACAUUAAAUCAUUAAUUCUCCUUAGUCUCUUUCGCUCUCUCUCUCUCUCACACACACACACACACACACUCAGACACACACGUCACAAAUUCAGUUCGCCGGAGAGAUGGCAGCUGCCGCCGCGGAGGUGGCCGACAACGGCAAUGCAGGGGCAGAGAAAUCUGCUCUGAUAUUUCUCGGUACCGGUUGUUCGAGUGCGGUUCCUAAUGCGUAGUGCUUGAUCUAGCCUUCUGAUCGUCCCUGUCGCGUCUGCUCCCAACUCUAAUCCUACCGCCUGACCAAAACCCUAAC
rnacentral:lncRNA from 1 species